rnacentral:misc_RNA from 1 species
AAUUCUCAACCUUAUUGGCUUUUGCUGAUAAUGGCUUGGAUUUGGGGGUCUUUUGCUGGCUUUCACAAGUCAGCUCCCCUUAAAUGUAUUAGCUGGUGCCUCUGGUUAACCAUCUAUUGGUGUGAUAAUUAUCUACGCUGUGGAUGUUAGCCGUCUUAUAGGUGCACUGCUUCUAACCGUCUGUUCAUUCGGACAAUCUCAUUGACA